AAUUCUCAACCUUUCUGGCUUUGGCUGGUUAGACUUGGACUGUGGGAGCUGCUGGCUUUUUCCAAAGUCAGCUCUCCUUAAAUGCAUUAGCAAAACCUUUGCUAGACCAUCUUUGGUGUGAUAAUUAUCUAUGCCACUGAGGUUCAGCUUCCUCAUAAGGGGGUUUAGCUUCUAACUGUCCAACUUGGACAACUUUCACA
rnacentral:misc_RNA from 1 species